GCCGCCCAUGGAGGCCGCAGCUGGAGCUGGAGCUGGAGCCGGCCCGGCCGAAGCCGCGGGGCCCGAGGCGCUGAGCUGCUUCUCCUACAACCAGGACUGCACCUCCCUGGCCAUCGGAACCAAAACUGGAUACAGGCUUUUCUCCCUAAGUUCUGUGGAACAGUUGGACCAAGUCCAUGAAAACAAUGAAAUCCCGGAUGUUUACAUCGUGGAGCGCCUCUUCUCCAGCAGCCUGGUGGUCGUGGUGAGUCACACCAAGCCUCGGCAAAUGAACGUCUAUCACUUCAAAAAAGGGACGGAGAUCUGCAACUAUAGCUAUUCCAGCAACAUCCUGUCCAUCCGGCUGAAUCGGCAGAGGCUGAUUGUUUGCCUGGAGGAGUCGAUUUAUAUUCAUAACAUUAAGGACAUGAAGCUUUUGAAGACAAUCCUGGAUACCCCUCCGAAUACAACAGGUUUAUGUGCACUUUCUAUCAACCAUUCCAACUCCUACUUGGCGUACCCUGGCAGCGCGACUAUUGGGGAGAUUGUGUUUUACGACGGAAAUAAUUUGAGAACAGUCUGUACAAUUCCUGCCCACGAUGGGCCCCUCGCUGCAAUAACCUUCAACUCCACAGGAUCGAAGUUAGCAAGCGCUUCAGAAAAAGGCACUGUCAUUCGUGUAUUUUCCGUACCUGAUGGGCAAAAACUCUACGAAUUCAGAAGAGGAAUGAAGAGGUACGUGAACAUCAGCUCUCUCGUGUUCAGUAUGGACUCGCAGUUCCUGUGUGCUUCGAGUAACACCGAGACCGUGCACAUCUUUAAACUGGAACAUACCACUGACAGCCGUCCAGAAGAGCCUCCCACCUGGAGUGGUUACAUGGGAAAGAUGUUUAUGGCUGCUACCAACUACCUCCCUGCUCAAGUGUCGGACAUGAUGAACCAGGACCGAGCCUUUGCCACUGUGCGCUUGAACUUCUCUGGACAACGGAACAUCUGCACGCUCUCCACGAUUCAGAAGCUGCCACGACUGUUAGUUACAACAUCAGACGGACACCUUUACAUCUACAACCUAGACCCUCAAGAUGGAGGAGAGUGCGUCUUAAUUAAGAAACACAGCCUGCUCGGCUCGGGAAAGACGGAUGAGAACAAAGAAAAUGACCUCCGGCCUCCAUUACCUCAGUCUUACGCAGCAACCGUAGCCCGACCAAGUACGAUGCCUUCAUCUUCAUCCAUGCCAGGUUACUCAGAAGAUGGGGGUGCCCUGCGAGGAGAGGUUAUCCCAGAGCACGAAUUUGCAACCGGACCAGUGCGUCUCGAUGACGAGAAUGAAUUCCCUCCUGUGAGCAUUAGGAGUCCCUAAAACGGCAGUACAGCCCUCAUGCUAAGAAGAAAGUAUUAACUUCUCACAGAAAAGAUGAUGUUCCCUUUCUCUAACCCGAUCCAUUAUCAAGCCUAUAACAACUAUGUUACAGGGACACCGCCAGGUAGUUUAUGCCCACAGCUGUGGCCGCUAGGGAUGGGGGUUCAGCCUACAAAUCCUAACAUUAAUUAGAGAGAGGGCCAAGCAAAUUCCCAGAAAUUAAGCACCUACAAAUGUGGGUGAAGUUUGAAUCUGGAUCUGACCUUUAAAUCUUGAGCCCGUCUCUCAUAUUAAUAGAAAUAGCUUUAACUGCGACGACGGCAGCAUUUUUAACAAAAAAAUUAUCCCCCCCCCCACCCCCCAGCAGUAUUUUCAGUGCAAACAUAUCCCAGCGUUGGGCUGGUGCAGCUGCAACCUGAAGUGACCAGAACAAAAGUAAAAGUGAGCCAUCUUUUCAUUCCCAAGCUGAGUGAAAUGCAAAAAGUCCCAGGGGCUGCGGAAUCAGAGGGGCAAAGGGGGCUAACGCCUCCACAAUGGAAAUAUUGGGUGGGGGGUGAGGCUGAUGUGUGCUUCCACCCUGGCAGGGCGUUCUCUAUACCAUGCACACAUGCAUGAGGGGUGGUAGGGAGGGAAGCAGGUGAGAGCAGGACCCAGGAUCCAGGCAGGAACACACCACGCGCACACACCGUUGAGUCUGAGUAGCUCCCUGUGCAGAGCACCCAUCCCACUCCCCAAUCUUUACCUGACCCCUCAACUUCCCCGCACUGGCCUUGACUUCCCCCUGCUCCCCAUGUAGAGCACCUCUGAGCGGCUGCCCCACGACCCCAAUUCACAGUGAGUUUCCGCUGCCUCUGGAAAAAGCCCAACCCUCCAGCCCAAAUGGGGCCAAGCGUACUAGAAUUUAAAAUCCAUUUCCAAUCUUUUAACAAUCAUCAGCAUUAGUCACCAGAGGUAAGGACAUUUUUGCUUUUAAAAACUGACUUUGAACCUGGCAGUGUCUCUCCAGCUCUGUGAUCUAGUAUCCAAACACUUACCAUGUUGUUUGCUUAACACUGGAGAGGGCAGAUGUUGAUUACCUGCAGUAAUAAUUUCUAGUAGUUAGCAGCCUCUCCAUAAUGGUAACACACUAAUACACCAGGACACUUUGACUUGACUAAAUUGUUGCGGCAAUUUACCGUGGACAGAAUCUUGAGCCCUUUACUCGGUCCUCACCCAUCUUCAGUGGAAGUUUUGCCUGAGUAAGGACCAAGUAAAAACUAUCUUAGGCUAAGGUUACACUGGCACUUUACAGCGCUGCAAGUUUCUCGCUCAGGGGGGUGAAAACACCCCCCUGAGCGCAGCAAGUUACAGCGCUGUAAGCUAAUCCCCUCGGGGAGGUGGAGUACCUGCAGCGUUGGGAGAGAGCUCUCCCAGCGCUGGUGCCACGACCACACACACACUUCAAAGCACUGCCACGGGAGCGCUCCGGCGGCAGCGCUUUGGAGUUUCGAGUGUAGCCAUGCCCUUAGGGUCUCAGCCACCAAUUGUGGGUCACGUCCUGAGAUUUUCAAAGUUGACUAGGGUUUAGUGUCAAGUAUCAGGGGGUAGCCGUGUUAGUCUGUAUCCACAAAAACAACAAGGAGUCCAGUGGCACCUUAAAGACUAACAGAUUUAUUUGGGCAUAAGCUUUCGUGGGUAAAAACCUCACUUCUUCGGAUGCAUAGAGUGAAAGUUACAGAUGCAGGCAUUAUAUACUGACAUGAAAAGAAGGGAGUUACCUCACAAGUGGAGAACCUGAUCGAAUUGGCCCUGUCAACACAGGGCCAAUUCAAUCAGGGUGGAUGUGGUCCACUCCCAAUAAUAGAUGAGGAGGUGUCAAUUCCAGGAGAGGCAAAGCUGCUUCUGUAAUGAGCCAGCCACUCCCAGGCCCUAUUCAAGCCCAAUUAAUGGUGUUAAAUUUGCAAAUAAAUUUUAGUUCUGCUAUUUCUUGUUGAAGUCUGUUUCUGAAGUUUUUUUGUUCAAGUAUAGCUACUUUUAAAUCUGUUAUAGAAUGUCCAGGGAGGUUGAAGUGUUCACCUACUAGCUUUUGUAUGUUACCAUUCCUGAUGUCGGAUUUGUGUCCAUUCAUUCUUUUACGUAGAGACUGUCCGGUUUGGCCAAUGUACAUAACAGAGGUACAUUGCUGGCACAUGAUGGCAUAUAUCACAUUCGUAGACAUGCAGGUGAUGGUGUGGUUGGGUCCUCUGAUGGUGUCGCUAGAGUAGAUCUGGGGACCGAGUAGGCAAUGAGGUUUGCUACAGGGAUUGGUUCCUGGGUUAGUGUUUCUGUGAUGUGUAGUUGCUGGUGAGUAUUUGCUUCAGGUUGGUGGGCUGUCUGAAGGACAGUGAAGAAGUGAGGUUUUUUUACCCAUGAAAGCUUAUGCCCAAAUAAAUCUUUUAGACUUUAAGGUGCCACCGGACUCCUUAGGGUUUAGUGAUACUCUAAAGCAUGUUGAGAUCUACUGCUGUAGAAGGCUAUAUAAAAGCAAGCUAGCCAGCUGCAGAACUCAUGAAACUCACUGCUUUAGUUCAGAACUGUGCAUGACACGGCCAUGGAUUAUACAGUUCCAUUCCGUUGUCUGCAACAUAAUUGAUUUGAAACCUGGCAUGACCAUUUUCUCUUUUCCCCAUUGGCUUCCUAUUCAGGGUAUUUAGUUUGAAGUGUUUCCCCUUUAAUCAUUCCAUAUUGACCCCUGGGGUGCUGAAGCCAAUGUUCUAGAAGGAGUGGAGCCCACACACACUUCCUGUGCUUGUUUCCAAGAAACCUGCACUUGAGUGUGUGUCCUAGGGACAAGCAAGUGCCAACAAGCAGGAGCUGAGCGGAUAUGCUGACGUGAGUUUGCCUGCUGUGAUUGGAUUGUAUGAAAGCAGCCCAAAACCCCUGCUGUCCACCAACAGGCCCUUUAUUAAAUGGACUUUGAUCUGUCAAAACCUUGUGAUGUAAUUAACUUGACAGAACAACUUACGUGUGUGACUUACUUCCCAAAACAGGCCUCUCUGCCCUGACCUAGCAGUAGGAGCUUCCAGAUGAAGCAUUUGGACUUAGAACUUCGUUUUUCCUCCUUGCUGCUGAAGUUUCCAGUUGCUAGUGCAGCAUUUACUUACACUGUGCUGCUUAUAAAUAAUCUUGUGCCGUGGAGGUCACCCGGGCAAAGUGAAGAGGUCAUGAUGAGACGCCAACCUCAGGAUUCGGGACAGGCGCUGGGAGGUGGUUUGGAAAAACCCAGCAGUGUGGAAGAACGGAUUUGUGGGUGCCUACAACAGGGCGAAUAACCAGAGGUGCUGCAUUGCUUUUACAACAGUAUGUUCAAGUGGUUACCUCACCCCUCUGGCCCUGUGUUUGACAUGGGAUAUGGGAGUGGUAUAAAUGUACUGCAUGCACAGUGCUGUAUUUAACAAAGGAGACAUUAAAACCCCGUUGUAAAUGCUAACCUGACCAAAUUUGUAUGUAACCUGAAUUUUCUAUACAUCGGUUUCCCUUUUCUAAUUUAUGCUGUUUUAUGUGUAUAAAGUCUAUUAAACUAUGUCUUUGUACAGUAUAUACAUACUAUUUUAUCCAUGCAGAGUAUUUUUGCAGUGAUAUUAGGGGGAAAUCUCCCCAUUUAUUAUGUUUGAGCUCUACCAGAAGACUAGUAAUAAAGUCGUCAUAUGUCAGUG